rnacentral:rRNA from 1 species
CAGUCGCCACGGUAAUACGUAGGUGGCAAGCGUUGUCCGGAAUUAUUGGGCGUAAAGGGCUCGCAGGCGGUUUCUUAAGUCUGAUGUGAAAGCCCCCGGCUCAACCGGGGAGGGUCAUUGGAAACUGGGAAACUUGAGCGCAGAAGAGGAGAGUGGAAUUCCACGUGUAGCGGUGAAAUGCGUAGGGAUGUGGAGGAACACCAGUGGCGAAGGCGACUCUCUGGUCUGUAACUGACGCUGAGGAGCGAAAGCGUGGGGAGCGAACAGGAUUAGAUACCCCUGUAGUCCCUGUCUCUUAUAC